ACCCCUCUGGCCCAAUUGGUAGAGGCAACGGUUUUAGGUGCCGUAGGUUCCCGGUUCGAGUCCGGGGAGGGGUA
rnacentral:tRNA from 3 species